rnacentral:rRNA from 1 species
CACGGAGGGGGCUAGCGUUGUUCGGAAUUACUGGGCGUAAAGCGCACGUAGGCGGCUUUGUAAGUUAGAGGUGAAAGCCCAGAGCUCAACUCUGGAACUGCCUUUAAGACUGCAUCGCUUGAAUUGUGGAGAGGUAAGUGGAAUUCCGAGUGUAGAGGUGAAAUUCGUAGAUAUUCGGAAGAACACCAGUGGCGAAGGCGACUUACUGGACACAUAUUGACGCUGAGGUGCGAAAGCGUGGGGAGCAAACAGG